UACGGAGGGGGCGAGCGUUAUUCGGAAUUAUUGGGCGUAAAGCGCACGUAGGCGGUUCGUUAAGUCGGAUGUGAAAGCCCUCAGCUCAACUGAGGAAGUGCGCCCGAAACUGCAGAGCUUGAGUGCCGGAGAGGGUGGCGGAAUUCCCCAAGUAGAGGUGAAAUUCGUAGAUAUGGGGAGGAACACCGGUGGCGAAGGCGGCCACCUGGACGGUAACUGACGCUGAGACGCGAAAGCGUGGGGAGCAAACAGG
rnacentral:rRNA from 1 species